GACAGAGGAUGCAAGCGUUAUCCGGAAUGAUUGGCGUAAAGCGUCUGUAGGUGGCUUUUUAAGUCCGCCGUCAAAUCCCAGGGCUACCACCGUGACGGCGGUGGAAACUACCGAAGCUGGAGUACGGUAGGGGCAGAGGGAAUUUCCGGUGGAGCGGUGAAAGUGCGUAGAGAUCGGAAAGAACACCAACGGCGAAAGCACUCUGCUGGGCCGACACUGACACUGAGAGACGAAAGCUAGGGGAGCGAAUGGG
rnacentral:rRNA from 1 species